rnacentral:rRNA from 1 species
UUUAAAUUGAGAGUUUGAUCCUGGCUCAGGAUGAACGCUGGCGGCGUGCUUAACACAUGCAAGUCGAGCGAUGAAGUUUCCUUCGGGAAACGGAUUAGCGGCGGACGGGUGAGUAACACGUGGGUAACCUGCCUCAUAGAGUGGAAUAGCCUUCCGAAAGGAAGAUUAAUACCGCAUAACGUUGAAAGAUGGCAUCAUCAUUCAACCAAAGGAGCAAUCCGCUAUGAGAUGGACCCGCGGCGCAUUAGCUAGUUGGUGGGGUAACGGCCUACCAAGGCGACGAUGCGUAGCCGACCUGAGAGGGUGAUCGGCCACAUUGGGACUGAGACACGGCCCAGACUCUUACGGGAGGCAGCAGUGGGGAAUAUUGCACAAUGGGGGAAACCCUGAUGCAGCAACGCCGCGUGAGUGAUGAAGGUUUUCGGAUCGUAAAGCUCUGUCUUUGGGGAAGAUAAUGACGGUACCCAAGGAGGAAGCCACGGCUAACUACGUGCCAGCAGCCGCGGUAAUACGUAGGUGGCGAGCGUUAUCCGGAUUUACUGGGCGUAAAGGGAGCGUAGGCGGAUGAUUAAGUGGGAUGUGAAAUACCCGGGCUCAACUUGGGUGCUGCAUUCCAAACUGGUUAUCUAGAGUGCAGGAG